rnacentral:misc_RNA from 1 species
UAGUACAACCGAGGUGCGGAGGGCUGUCGCUGACUUUUUGUCGUGCACGCCCGAAGUGCUCUCACACAAUAUCCAUCUCACCCAUUUGUGCAUCAUCGCGUGGGUCCUGCUUUUUGGCUUGUUCCGAGGAGGGGGGCUCGCGUUUUCACACAACCCCCCCUUUAAAAAGCGUAGAAUGCAUUUGUUAUUGAAAUCAAUA